rnacentral:rRNA from 1 species
UACAGAGGGGGCAAGCGUUAUUCGGAAUUAUUGGGCGUAAAGGGCGCGUAGGCGGCCUGGCAAGUGGAUGGUGAAAUCCCUCGGCUUAACCGAGGAACUGCCAUCCAGACUGCUUGGCUUGGGACCGGGAGAGGUGAGUGGAAUUCCCAGUGUAGCGGUGAAAUGCGUAGAUAUUGGGAGGAACACCAGUGGCGAAGGCGGCUCACUGGACCGGUACUGACGCUGAGGCGCGAAAGCGUGGGGAGCAAACGGG